rnacentral:lncRNA from 1 species
UGGAAAUAUUGUAACUGUCUCCUAGGUGAUUUUUAAUAGGCAAAUUUGACAGUGUUCCUAGAGGUAUGUUUAUGGAUUGCUAACAUCCCAGGUAGGUCAUCAUUAAAAAGUAGGGUUAACUGUGGCACCCUGAGAGAGCUUAGAACCAAAUUCUACUCCUUCCUGACCUCCAGAAAUGUACAUUUAACUCAGAAUACCAAACUAUCAAAGCCCUCCCAGAACAGUCUGAUCUCAUUUGGGAAGUCUUUUGCUUAUAUAACAGCAUGCAUUUGUUCAACCAACCUGUAUUUAUUGUUUAUCCACUGUGUGUCAGGCACUGUGCAUUAGACAAUGUUCCUGCCCCUCAUAGAGGCCAUAUUCUACUGGAACAGAAGAUAUUCCUAUUAGACUUCCAAGAUGAGAUGUCAAGUAGACAAUUAGACAUAAGAAUCAGCUGCUCAUGGGAGUGAGAGUAAAGCUGCAGAGGUAAGUAUUUUGCAGUCAUUGCCUUAGGUGACUUCGAUGAUAUUUUAGACAUGGUAUUUUAAGACUGGGUGAGAUCACCAAGAAAGGAAUAUAAUUAAAGAAGGAAAGAGGGCCCAGGAUUAAGCUCUAGAUUACUACAGGCUGGCCCUAAACUAAAGCAGGAAUAUUUCUUUCAUGGCACAUAUACAAAUAACUUGGUAGAUCUCUUCUUGGGAAAAUGAGAUGAUUAACACACACACUCUG